GAUUAAACCAUGCAUGUCUAAGUACAUGCCGUAUUAAGGGAAAACCGCGAAAGGCUUAUUGAAUCAGUUACAGGUCCUUGGAUUGCACCUUACUACUUGGAUAACUGUGACAAUUCUAGAGCUAAUACAUGCAGCAGAGCUUCGACCCUCUGAGGAUGAGCACUUCUGUUAGACCAAAAUCGGACUUGAUGCCUAUAUUAUGUGGUGAUCCUGUAUAACCUUGGGUUGAUCUCAUGGGCUCGUUCCGGAGACGUAUCUUUCAAGUUCUUAUGAACUGUCGAUGGUAGGUUACGCGCCCUACCAUGGUCGUAACGGGUGACGAUGAAUCAGAGUUCGAUUCCGGAGAGGGAACUUGAGAAACGGCUACCACAUUCAAGAAAGGCAGACUC
rnacentral:ncRNA from 1 species